GCCCCGCGGCCCAGCCGCGCUGCUUCAGCCGCCCGCCCGCGCCCUAGUGUCCUAUUUCUUUAAAAUAAAAGCCGCGAGCCCUACAAUUACUGGGAUUACAGUGAGCGGGUAUUGAUCUGCAGCCGGCAUUGUAGGAUCAAGCAGGCGGGCGGAGGCGGACAUCGCCGCCCCCACCCCUCGCAGUCGCCGAGUCCUGCAAAGCGCUAGAAACCGUUUCUAAAUGUCUGAUUUCAGAAGCACCGUCAACACCUGCUGCAAAAGAAUGGACACCCCCCACCCCCCGCCCACCCGAGGGGCCGCACCUCCUCCCCUCCGCCCGUGGGCCGCCCAGGCCUGAGCCAGCUACGCCGCUACCUUCAGCCCUUUUUUUCUUCCCUUUUUUUAAUCACUGAGGGAAAAUAUACACAUAAGAAAAAAAACAAAAAGGCUCCCUGGCAGGCGCGAGCGGGGGUGGUGAGGAGGCCGGCGAAGGCAGUAAUGCAACCCUAAUGCACAGAUAGCUGACAUCAACUUCCGUCAGGCAGCUCCUGGAGAUCGAACCUUUCGAUUGUAACUGGGACAAUUUGCAUAGUGAUUCCCUUUCAGAGCUUUCCCGGGUCCAUAACAAGCCCAGGCAGCUAUUCAAAUGCAAGUUGCAACCCCAAAUGAGAGGCUGGCCUGACCAAAAAGAGCCAUCCGGCGCCCGGGAGAAACAAGAACGGUGCUACGGUUCUCAUCCUUUUCUCUUCUUUCUUCUCUCUUUCUCUUCUCCGGUUCCUGAUUUAGCUGGGAGCUGUUUAUUUAUGGCUGCAAAUGUGUGUGUGCAAGAGAGAGGGAGAAUUGAUCUUUGCCUGGACUUAAAGAUGGAGCCGAAGGCGCUGGAGGGAAUUUGGGUUUGUGCGUCUGGCUCAGACCCUGGGCGCCGAACGGGGCCGCUUGGCACGGAGCCCGAGGUCUUUCUUUGCCGCACCCCUCACCUCGAGACCUUGCAGGAAUCCGCGGGCCCAGGAGCGGCCUGACGGGCCCAUCUGCCCCGGGCCCGGCUGCCGAGAAAGGCUUCGUGGAGGGGGCCAUCCAGUCCCUGUCUUUAAAAUGAGCGCAAUAAAAGGGGGCAAAUCCUCAAACGCGAACCUGAUCGCUUGUCACAGAAGCAACUUGCCAUGAAAUCCGCUAAUGCGCCGCGACUCGCCCACCGGGCUCCCUGGUGCUCGAGGCUGGAGAGGGAGGCCGGUCCGGAAAAGAGGCUGGAGAGAGAUCAGUAACCCCCGGCAUUGGUGUAACCAGCGCGCGCCCAAUGCAGUCGUAUUCCUCGAAUGCGCGCACCGCCCGCCACACUUGGAGAAUCCAGCCCACAGAGGUUUCGGAAACCCCAUUUUCCUGAUUGCAGCCCAGACUCUGGAACCCCGCAAGCCUUCCGGGGAAGCGAGCCCAAUCCAGACCAAGCAGACCUCUGGCGCUGCCGGGUUCGUACAACCACUAAAGCAGCGUCAUCUUGAGAGUUAUUUUGGGGAAAAAGACCUGGGACCUGGGUUUGAGUUAAAGACGUUAGAGGCAAGGGACAGAUGGCCCAGCAUUUCUUUGGAACGAGGCAGAACUGAGAACUACCCAGCUGGACCAGCAUUGCCGAAAACUGGAGAUUAGGAAAUGUAUUCUCCUCGCACACACAGUAGCACACAUCUCCUCCGACGGCGAGUUCACCCCUACGCCAGGGGCCUCUGGCUCCGCCGCUGCGUUUCCCAGACGCCCUUUCGGCCUUCUCCAGGUUUUGCCAGGCAAAUGAAACGAGCAGAACUCGAUGGUAAAUUAUUUUGUUCAGCCUUCCGUCUUUUUAUAAAAAUAAAAGGCAACACUUUGUCAUUUUUAAUCAUAUAAGCAGACAAUAAAC
ensembl:lncRNA